GACGAACGCUGGCGGCGUGCUUAACACAUGCAAGUCGAAUGGAAAGGCCCUGCUUUUGUGGGGUGCUCGAGUGGCGAACGGGUGAGUAACACGUGAGUAACCUGCCCUUGACUUUGGGAUAACUUCAGGAAACUGGGGCUAAUACCGGAUAGGAGCUCCUGCUGCAUGGGGGGGGUUGGAAAGUUUCGGCGGUUGGGGAUGGACUCGCGGCUUAUCAGCUUGUUGGUGGGGUAGUGGCUUACCAAGGCUUUGACGGGUAGCCGGCCUGAGAGGGUGGCCGGCCACAUUGGGACUGCGGUACGGCCCAGUCUCCUACGGGAGGCAGCAGUGGGGAAUAUUGCACAAUGGGCGGAAGCCUGAUGCGGAAGCGCCGCGUGCGUGAUGACGGCCUUCGGGUUGUAAACCGCUUUCGCCUGUGACGAAGCUUGAGUGACGGUAAUGGGUAAAGAAGCACCGGCUAACUACGUG
rnacentral:rRNA from 1 species